AGAACGAACGCUGGCGGCAUGCCUAACACAUGCAAGUCGAACGAGACCUUCGGGUCUAGUGGCGCACGGGUGCGUAACGCGUGGGAAUCUGCCCUUAGGUACGGAAUAACAGUGAGAAAUUACUGCUAAUACCGUAUGAUGUCUUCGGACCAAAGAUUUAUCGCCUAGGGAUGAGCCCGCGUUGGAUUAGCUAGUUGGUGGGGUAAAGGCCUACCAAGGCGACGAUCCAUAGCUGGUCUGAGAGGAUGAUCAGCCACACUGGGACUGAGACACGGCCCAGACUCCUACGGGAGGCAGCAGUGGGGAAUAUUGGACAAUGGGCGAAAGCCUGAUCCAGCAAUGCCGCGUGAGUGAAGAAGGCCUUCGGGUUGUAAAGCUCUUUUACCCGGGAAGAUAAUGACUGUACCGGGAGAAUAAGCCCCGGCUAACUCCGCGCCAGCAGCCGC
rnacentral:rRNA from 1 species